GAAAACAGUCAAAAUGAAAAGUAUCAAGAUCGUUUUGGUCCGAAUGUGGCAAUUUAUUUGACUUUUUUAUUCAUUCCGUCUUAAUUGAGUUAAACAAGUAAUAAGUUUUACUUUAUUUUAUGUUAGAUUGCCUCUAUGCAAACAAAGAGAAGAAAAACUUUGACGAUAUAAUGGGAACACUUAAAAGUGAUAAACCGUCUUGGGGUCGAUUUUAUACAGCGGUGAAGAUCCUGCCGAUAUUCCAAAUGAAUGUUUCAAGAACCUACUGACAGAAACUUCCAAGGCAUUUCAAUUGAAAAAAAUCCGAGCGGUC